GAUGAGCAUGCGUCCCAUUAGCUAGUUGGUAAGGUAACGGCUUACCAAGGCUACGAUGGGUAGGGGUCCUGAGAGGGAGAUCCCCCACACUGGUACUGAGACACGGACCAGACUCCUACGGGAGGCAGCAGUGAGGAAUAUUGGACAAUGGGCGCAAGCCUGAUCCAGCCAUGCCGCGUGCAGGAUGACGGUCCUAUGGAUUGUAAACUGCUUUUAUACGAGAAGAAACACUCCUUCGUGAAGGAGCUUGACGGUAUCGUAAGAAUAAGGAUCGGCUAACUCCGUGCCAGCAGCCGCGGUAAUACGGAGGAUCCAAGCGUUAUCCGGAAUCAUUGGGUUUAAAGGGUCCGUAGGCGGUUUAAUAAGCCAGUGGUGAAAGCCCAUCGCUCAACGGUGGAACGGCCAUUGAUACUGUUAGACUUGAAUUAUUAGGAAGUAACUAGAAUAUGUAGUGUAGCGGUGAAAUGCUUAGAGAUUACAUGGAAUACCAAUUGCGAAGGCAGGUUACUACUAAUUGAUUGACGCUGAUG
rnacentral:rRNA from 1 species